rnacentral:lncRNA from 1 species
CGCAAGAUAAGCUACGGCCCGGCUUUUUUGCCGUAACUCUGGCGCAGGUCACGGCAGCACGAGGCCUUGGCCUGUCCGUGCCGCGGAGGAGCUGUGCGCUGCUCCCUCUUCCCGGGCUGUUCCCAGCGCGGGAAUAUCCUGCCAACGCGGGACCCUCCGGCCGGAGCACCGCACUCCCCAGCCUCCGCUGCGGACCGGCACCUUUGCCGUCAGCCGCCUCCCCCCGCUUGGAAACACCUUCAACGCUGCAAGUGACUUCCUUUAAAGACUGCCAACUAUAUUAGUAAAUAAACUGAACUCUAAUGAUGUAACCA